CCUCAGUUGUGUAUGAAGAUACACAUCAUGACCAGAGAUGCCCAACCCUAAGAAAGCUAAGCUAGCAGAGGAUGUUUCACUGCUAAGAAAACUUCUGUCAUCAAUAGAUCAAACAAAGGUUGUCUCAAGAUGACAAAAUCACAGUAAAGGAUGUUAGACAAAGAAAUCUGUCAGAAAACAAAAUUCUGGCUUCGGGUGCAGAAUGUCUCCCUCAUCCUUGUUGGGAGGAGGCUCCUGUAUGACACCAUAGGAACUUUUGGACCGGCCACUCAUGCCUGCAUCCACCUCUGUUUACUGAAAGCUGUGCACAACUCUGAUAGAGCUGGAAACCACUGCGGGCCGCAGCCUGCAGGAGCCUGGCAGGAGUUCAGCCACAAAGCUUUACAUGAGCCGAUCAUCUGAAAACGGGAAGAAUCACCCAGAGGAACCAUGGAGGAGGGAUGGAACC